UACGUAGGGUGCAAGCGUUAAUCGGAAUUACUGGGCGUAAAGCGUGCGUAGGCGGUUCGUUAAGUCCGUUGUGAAAGCCCUGGGCUCAACCUGGGAAUGGCAGUGGAUACUGGCGAGCUAGAGUGUGAUAGAGGAUGGUGGAAUUCCCGGUGUAGCGGUGAAAUGCGUAGAGAUCGGGAGGAACACCAGUGGCGAAGGCGGCCAUCUGGAUCAACACUGACGCUGAGGCACGAAAGCGUGGGGAGCAAACAGG
rnacentral:rRNA from 1 species